ACUCCUCCCCGCCCGUUCCAAUCCCGUCGACGCCAACGCCCCACUCUACUCUCUCCGACGCUGCAACAGAUCCUGGCACCUGCUAUGCCGCCAUGCCCUCAACGUCCGGCUCCGGCGCAGGGAUGAAGGUCAAGGUCGCCGAGCCAUACUUCCACAAGUUAUCCAUGGCUGCUUUUGAUUCCGCCCAGACUAGCUAGUUCAAGAUCAAUUGAGUGCACUGUGGAUCCAUAGUUGCAAAACAAUUCUGGAUAUUUCCUUGGCUUAAUUUCUGUAUAACAAGAGCCCCGCGAGCGAGCUCUCCACCACAAGUAACUGGAAUCGACCGCCGCCUCCCUACCAGAGCGCACAAGUCACCGAAACCUCCAGAUCUAUUCAUGUUCCCGGUGUAGCAGACCUGAAGGUGCCUCACAUGGUUCGGUGAUUUCCUUUUAUCUGUGAACUAUUGUCGUUACUAUAGGAGCAGUCUCGAUUGUUAAAGAUCACCAAUUUCAUCUGUUUCUUCCUUUCCUGCGUGUUUGAUCCAAUUCUUUGAUAUUGUGGAUUUGAAUAGGAUAGGUUACAUUUUUUUUGCGGGUGUAAUAGGAUAGGUUACGUUGAUUGUGGAAUUGACGUACCUGCAUUUGUGAAUGAUCUGACUUAGGUAGACUUAGUUGCUAGGGCUCGUCUUGGUUAAAAUAAUUACUCCCUCCUUCCAUCUAUAUAAGGCCUAACCCCAAAUUUCAUUUUUCCAUCUAUACAAGGCCAAACGAGCUAACCAAUGCAUCUCCCACUUAAUUCCUCCUCGCACAUCGCGUGGUCGUCCUCGUGAAAACGCAAUGGCGGUAGCAUUGAUUUGCAUGCAUGCACAGAGCAGUUAUUAGGAGUGCUUCACCUCGCCUCCUCCUCCUUUUUCUCCACAAAACUGUUUCUUUUGGCCAAUGCAUGCAUGACUGGAGGAGUUAUUGUUGGCUGCAUGCAGAAAAAG